GCACUACUCGGGGAGAUAGCGGUGCCCUGUGACCCGCAAUCCGCUGCAGCGGGGAGGAAUUCCCAACCGAGGGUGCAUGCUGUGCCGUCUGACCCACAUAAGCGGCGUUGAUGAUCCGGUCUUGCGCAAUGGGGCGCUGCGAACCGUGUCAGGUGGGGAACCAAGCAGCACUAAACAGUUAACCCUGUGUGCCGCGAGGGCGCCGUUUCUGAGCUGGCUGUGCGGGUAACGGGUGUAGCGUGUAUUCGGAGAAGGGUG
rnacentral:SRP_RNA from 1 species